UACGUAGGUGGCAAGCGUUGUUCGGAAUUAUUGGGCGUAAAGAGCUCGUAGGCGGUCUGUCGCGUCGGCUGUGAAAACCCGAGGCUCAACCUCGGGCCUGCAGUCGAUACGGGCAAACUAGAGUACUGCAGGGGAGACUGGAAUUCCUGGUGUAGCGGUGAAAUGCGCAGAUAUCAGGAGGAACACCGGUGGCGAAAGCGGCUCUCUGGCCCGGUUCUGACGCUGAGGCGCGAAAGCGUGGGGAGCAAACAGG
rnacentral:rRNA from 1 species